GAUGAACGCUGGCGGCGUGCCUAAUACAUGCAAGUCGGGCGAACGGACGAGAAGCUUGCUUCUCUGAUGUUAGCGGCGGACGGGUGAGUAACACGUGGAUAACCUACCUAUAAGACUGGGAUAACUUCGGGAAACCGGAGCUAAUACCGGAUGAUAUUUUGAACCGCAUGGUUCAAAAGUGAAAGACGGUCUUGCUGUCACUUAUAGAUGGAUCCGCGCUGCAUUAGCUAGUUGGUAAGGUAACGGCUUACCAAGGCAACGAUGCAUAGCCGACCUGAGAGGGUGAUCGGCCACACUGGAACUGAGACACGGUCCAGACUCCUACGGGAGGCAGCAGUAGGGAAUCUUCCGCAAAGGGCGAAAGCCUGACGGAGCAACGCCGCGUGAGUGAUGAAGGUCUUCGGAUCGUAAAACUCUGUUAUUAGGGAAGAACAUAUGUGUAAGUAACUGUGCACAUCUUGACGGUACCUAAUCAGAAAGCCACGGCUAACUACGUG
rnacentral:rRNA from 1 species